rnacentral:lncRNA from 1 species
CUUUCCCACCAUUUGUCAUUUUCGCAGGCUUUCAUGACAUACAUCUUGUGGAAUGUUGGCUAUGCACAGAGCGUGAAGGAUUCAAACGCUCCCAUUUCAGGCAGAUUGGCCAACGAAAGCAGCGGAGGUUGGUGGAGAUCGGGGAGAUAUGUCUGGAAGAGGCAGGGGUAGAGGAAGCCUGGAAAGAACACAGGAUGUAUGAAAACGACAGCUUUGAGGCUGCUCCACCUCUGCAAGUUUAGCCAAGGGUGAUUGCAAUUGGCUGAUGAUCGCCAGGGCAGACCUCUUCCUGGAAUCAGUUCAGCUCUUAGAACCCCCCAUGGGUGGCUGAUGGACAAAGCAAUAAAGCUGACUGCAUCCUGCUCCUUCCCAUGCCGUGGGGCCCUUUGCUGCUGGGGACCUGAAAGUAUUACAAAGCUCCCUGUGGAAGAGGUAGAGUCAGCAAUGGAAGCAGUUUGGGUCUGGACGUGGAAGCUGCCUGCCCACUCGGCACACCCACGUUGGACGAUUAGGUGAGCAGACAACAAACAUUCCCUAUGUUAAGCCACUACGAUGUGGGGUUUAUUUGUUAGGGUAGCUGGCAGAACCCUACAAAUACAAUCCACUUUACACUGUGCGUAGAAAAGUGAGGACGAAGAAGCCAAACAUCCCUAAUGGGCACUCUCUGAAAGCAGACCUGCCUUUCGGUGGCGUCACUGCUUUGUCUCUGAGUGCCUGCAGUGGGCCUUUGGAAGCUGUUGCUUUGAGAUUCGUUCCGCAGUAUGUUUCAAGUUGUUCUGCCUUAAAUUAAAAAAUCAGUAGUUUGAAUGUGGAUGCAAAUUCUUAAUAGCCUUAGCAACUGACGAAAAAUUUCCAGAUGUUUCACAAAGCACUAAAAUAUUGUACAUUGUUUUCUUUUUCAAUGGGAAAUUAUUCACAGCGCCAUAAAAAGUUGUUUUUUCAGUAAACAGAUUAUGUUUCAGUCUGCGGUGUGAACACUUAAAUGGAACGAUGCAAUAUGCCACUUUUUAAAAGAGGGUUUUAAACAUGUCAGUACAAACCUUUCAGGCCUCUGUCCCAUAAAUUCAACUUUUUAAAAUGAAAUCAACCUGAGCCCUGUGAAAGCUCUAGUACUACUAUGUCAAAACCAGUGAAAUUUGGCUGUUUAUUGCCACCUAUGGAAUGUGGCAAAGAAACAUUCUUUUCACAUGGGACAAUUUCUUCAACUUUACACCAAGUGAAAUUUAAUUGCUUUCACUUCCUGGAAUCAUUAGGCGUUAGUCCUGCAGGAGAGGGAACCCAGAGGAGAUGCUGAAAAAUAAGUCUGUGCUUAAUAUAUUUCUCCUUGGAAUUGUAUUCUCUUUCCCUUUACUGCUGUGAUGCAGCAAAUUUCAGCCUGGGCAGCCGCUUUACAAACAGGAGGGAAAUUUUAGAGGAAGAAGAAAUAACAGUAUCCUAUUGGAAAAGAACACAUCAGAGGUAAAUUGUCCUUGAAAGCCAUGACUAGUCAUGCCUUGAUCAUUACUAUUGAACUACU